AUACGGAGGGUGCAAGCGUUAUUCGGAAUCACUGGGCGUAAAGGACGCGUAGGCGGGUUGGCAAGUCAGAUGUGAAAUCCUACAGCUUAACUGUAGAACUGCAUUUGAAACUGCUAACCUAGAGUAUGGGAGGGGGAGAUGGAAUUAGUGGUGUAGGGGUAAAAUCCGUAGAUAUCACUAGGAAUACCGAAAGCGAAGGCGAUCUCCUGGAACAUUACUGACGCUAAGGCGUGAAAGCGUGGGGAGCAAACGGGAGUAGAAACCCUAGUAGUCC
rnacentral:rRNA from 1 species